AGCAGUAGCCGCGGUAAUACGUAGGGUGCAAGCGUUAUCCGGAAUUAUUGGGCGUAAAGAGCUCGUAGGCGGUUUGUCGCGUCUGCUGUGAAAACUGGAGGCUCAACCUCCAGCCUGCAGUGGGUACGGGCAGACUAGAGUGCGGUAGGGGAGAUUGGAAUUCCUGGUGUAGCGGUGGGAUGCGCAGAUAUCAGGAGGAACACCGAUGGCGAAGGCAGAUCUCUGGGCCGUAACUGACGCUGAGGAGCGAAAGCGUGGGGAGCGAACAGGAUUAGAUACCCCAGUAGUCCCUGUCUCUUAUAC
rnacentral:rRNA from 1 species